AAGAGGAAAUGAUAAUGUUGUUAUUAACUGAGUGAUGAUUUUACUUCAGUGCAGCAGAAGUUUCUCAUACCAGAAAAUGCAGCACUGAAAGUCACAGAUGAGCAGGGUAUAGAGGUGGAUGAGGAUGUCUUUCCUGAACUUGCAGCAGUCAAAGAGGUGUGUUUUGUCAUCUAUACAGCUGAAGACAUCCUGGAAACACAAUCAUCCAAGAAGCUGCGUGACUGCUCAGACCUAACACACUAUGUGACACUCACACCUUGUGAUUUGACUGUCCUGAAGCAACAUGUGGAAGAGCCCUCCUCUCCAAGUCUAACAGAUACAUUGUCUGUCUCAACCACCAGCAGUCAGAGCAGUGACACAAGUGAUGCCGGACUUCAAAUGGUUCAGCCUCUAUUGGACAGCAUACAUGAAAGAAAUGUAGAUACAGUACUUAAUUGACUUAUACUUGA